rnacentral:rRNA from 1 species
CCUACGGGUGGCAGCAGUGAGGAAUAUUGGUCAAUGGACGAGAGUCUGAACCAGCCAAGUAGCGUGAAGGAUGACUGCCCUAUGGGUUGUAAACUUCUUUUAUAAAGGAAUAAAACGAGGCACGUGUGCCUUUUUGCAUGUACUUUAUGAAUAAGGAUCGGCUAACUCCGUGCCAGCAGCCGCGGUAAUACGGAGGCUCCGAGCGUUAUCCGGCUUUAUUGGGUUUAAAGGGAGCGUAGAUGGGUUGUUAUGUCAGUUGUGAAAGUUUGUGGCUCAAACAUAGAGUUGCCGUUGAAACUGGGGGGCUUGAGUAUGUGUGAGGCAGGCGGAAUGCGUGGUGGAGCGGUGAAAUGCUUAGAUAUCACGCAGAACCCAGAUUGCGAAGGCAGCCUGCUAAGCCAUGACUGACGCUGAUGCACGAAAGCGUGGGGAUCAAACAGGAUUAGAUACCCUAGUAGUC